rnacentral:lncRNA from 1 species
UAAGACACAUUUGUUCUCUAAUGCAGUGUUUAGAAUCACAAUGAUAUGAUAUUGAUUAGAAGGCUAUAGUAGAAAAAAAGAUAUAGAUAGAUACAAACGCAUUGCACCUGCAUGUUCGCCUUUUCUCCUUAAUCCUCUUGCUUGUCUACAUGACUUACACCAAUCAUUUUGUGCUUCUCCCAAUACCCAGCGACCUGUAUAAUUUCAAAAGAAACCCCACUUGGUUAAGCGCUUCGUUAUGUUAUCACUUCACAGGCAAUAUAGAAUAACCCGUAAGUAAUUGAUAGGGUUAUGGCUAUAAGGGAAACCAUUAAUAUCAUUAUCAAAAAAGUGAAAUCCAUCAAUCAAAAUCUGGUGACCAGUAUAUUAAAGUUCAAAAGGUUUCUCCUAAAUGCAAACUAAAUCAGCAACAGUCAUGUCCUUGACAAUGGAGCAAAGGACCAUCCUUGAGGGGGAAAAAUGCAAGAGAAAGGAAUAAAAAAAAAGCAUGCUUGAACAUACAUGAGAUGGCGAUGAGGUCAUAAUGGCAUCCAUGGUGAAGAAGAGGAUUCAGACCUAGACACCUACCCGCCUGUAAAGAUGAAAAUUAGGGAAUAUAGGUAGUGGGUCAAGGAUAGUGAUUUCAUUCUCUAAUUUGAAGCUUGAUAGGUAUAGUGGUUUAAGGACAUGGUCAAAGUGAGAAAAUAAUUGACAACGAAAUCAGAUAUUAUCUCAAAAUAGAAUCAAGAGAUGCCAUAUCCUUAAUGCCAUCAAAAGGUUAGAAAGAAACUAAAUAAAUUGAGAAACGUAUGUACAGAAAAACAGUCAGUUUUGGUGAGAUCUUGAAUUUAAAAUUUUAAUAUCAAAAUGCCCCUUGAAAUUUUAAUAGCAUAAUUUAUGCUGCUUUUGAAAUUUUGUUUGUUGCUUAAUUGGAGGGUGAAAAUGGUACCUGAAAGAGUUUCUUGGCUAUCACCAUCUCUAUGCGGCUCCUCAAAGAACAUUUUCCCUGUGUG